rnacentral:miRNA from 1 species
UCUGGCCUGGCUGAUGAUCUCA